AAAAGGCAAAAUUAAAAGAACAAAAAAGGCAAUAAACAAUGAAAAGUACAAAGUGGCAUAGCGAAGAACUAUUUGACGACGAAGUUUGUUUUGUCUUAUGGUAUAAAUUGGGGGUCGAAUUUGUCUGCUGGGCACAAGCCAGAAUAAUAUGAUCGAGUGAAGUUUGUCGAUAUAAGGAAUCAAAAUAACAGGCGCUUGCAAAAACAACAAAAGAUGACUUAAAAGGAAAUCACCAGCAAACAUAUUCAACUCUGUAGUUUUACACACAAAUUCUCUCCAUGGUUGCGUUAAAACCAUAUAUCCAAAACCUUGGCCAUUCCAACGUCCAGACCACCAAGCUAAAUUGGCACCAUCAUGACGAAAUUCUCGAGACAGG